UACGGGAGGCAGCAGUGGGGAAUAUUGCACAAUGGGCGCAAGCCUGAUGCAGCCAUGCCGCGUGUAUGAAAAAGGCCUUUCGGGUUGUAAAGUACUUUCAGUCGUGAGGAAGGUGUUAAGGUUAAUAACCUUAGCAAUUGACGUUAGCGACAGAAGAAGCACCGGCUAACUCCGUGCCAGCAGCCGCGGUAAUACGGAGGGUGCGAGCGUUAAUCGGAAUUACUGGGCGUAAAGGGCACGCAGGCGGUUAAUUAAGUUGGAUGUGAAAUCCCCGGGCUUAACCUGGGAAUGGCAUUCAAGACUGGUUAGCUAGAGUCUUGUAGAGGGGGUGGAAUUCCAUGUGUAGCGGUGAAAUGCGUAGAGAUGUGGAGGAAUACCGGUGGCGAAGGCGGCCCCUGGCAAAGACUGACGCUCAUGUGCGAAAGCGUGGGGAGCAAACAGGGAUUAGAUACC
rnacentral:rRNA from 1 species